AGGCGUAGUCGAUGGGAAACAGGUUAAUAUUCCUGUACUUGGUGUUACUGCGAAGGGGGGACGGAGAAGGCUAUGUUGGCCGGGCGACGGUUGUCCCGGUUUAAGCGUGUAGGCUGGUUUUCCAGGCAAAUCCGGAAAAUCAAGGCUGAGGCGUGAUGACGAGGCACUACGGUGCUGAAGCAACAAAUGCCCUGCUUCCAGGAAAAGCCUCUAAGCAUCAGGUAACAUCAAAUCGUACCCCAAACCGACACAGGUGGUCAGGUAGAGAAUACCAAGGCGCUUGAGAGAACUCGGGUGAAGGAACUAGGCAAAAUGGUGCCGUAACUUCGGGAGAAGGCACGCUGAUAUGUAGGUGAAGUCCCUCGCGGAUGGAGCUGAAAUCAGUCGAAGAUACCAGCUGGCUGCAACUGUUUAUUAAAAACACAGCACUGUGCAAACACGAAAGUGGACGUAUACGGUGUGACGCCUGCCCGGUGC
rnacentral:rRNA from 1 species